CCUACGGGUGGCUGCAGUGGGGAAUAUUGCACAAUGGGGGAAACCCUGAUGCAGCAACGCCGCGUGAGUGAAGAAGUAUUUCGGUAUGUAAAGCUCUAUCAGAAGGGAAGAGAAGGACGGUACCGGACUAAGAAGCCCCGGCUAAUUACGUGCCAGCAGCCGCGGUAAUACGUAGGGGGCGAGCGUUAUGCGGAGUGACGGGGGGUAAAGGGAGCGGAGACGGUUCUGCAAGUCUGAAGUGAAAGCCCGUGGCUUAACCGCGGAACGGCUUUGGAAACUGUGGAACUGGAGUGCUGGAGAGGCAAGCGGAAUUCCUCGUGUAGCGGUGCCAUGCGUAGAUAUUAGGAGGACCACCAGUGGCGAAGGCGGCUUGCUGGACAGUAACUGCCGUUGAGACUCGAAAGCGUGGGGAGCAAACAGGAUUAGAUACCCUUGUAGUC
rnacentral:rRNA from 1 species